GGGAACGUGGCUUAGUGGUAGAGUGCUUGCCUUAUAUGCAUGAGGCCCUGGGUUCAAUUCCUCAUCACCCCA
rfam:Dipodomys ordii contig_3490, whole genome shotgun sequence.